UACGGGGGGAGCGAACGUUGUUCGGAAUUACUGGGCGUAAAGGGCGUGCAGGCGGCCUUGUAAGUGGAAUGUGAAAUGCCCUGGCUCAACCAGGGAACUGCAUCCCAGACUGCAAGGCUUGAGUAUAGGAGAGGAUGGGGGAAUUCCCGGUGUAGCGGUGAAAUGCAUUGAUAUCGGGAGGAACACCAGUGGCGAAGGCGCCCAUCUGGCCUAAUACUGACGCUCAGGCGCGAAAGCUAGGGGAGCAAACAGG
rnacentral:rRNA from 1 species